AUACCUUUCUCGGCCUUUUGGCUAAGAUCAAGGGUAGUAUCUGUUCUUAUCAGUUUAAUUUCUGAUACGUGGUGCCACGUGCCCACACGAUAUAUAAACAUAUUUUUUAAGGUCGAAGGCCCCUCUAUUUGGGCUUUCGUGAGUCACCCAUACGUUGCACUUCUGUAAGGGUUUGGCUCAACCCAC
rfam:Arabis alpina cultivar Pajares chromosome 5, whole genome shotgun sequence.